AUUGAACGCUGGCGGCAUGCUUUACACAUGCAAGUCGAACGGUAACAGGGUGCUUGCACCGCUGACGAGUGGCGAACGGGUGAGUAAUGCGUCGGAACGUGCCGAGUAGUGGGGGAUAACGCAGCGAAAGUUGUGCUAAUACCGCAUACGUACUGAGGUAGAAAGUGGGGGACCUUCGGGCCUCACGCUAUUCGAGCGGCCGACGUCUGAUUAGCUAGUAGGUGAGGUAAAGGCUCACCUAGGCGACGAUCAGUAGCGGGUCUGAGAGGAUGAUCCGCCACACUGGGACUGAGACACGGCCCAGACUCCUACGGGAGGCAGCAGUGGGGAAUUUUGGACAAUGGGCGAAAGCCUGAUCCAGCCAUGCCGCGUGUCUGAAGAAGGCCUUUUGGUUGUAAAGCACUUUAAGCGAGGAGGAGGCUACCUGGAUUAAUACUCUGGGAUAGUGGACGUUACUCGCAGAAUAAGCACCGGCUAACUCUGUGCCAGCAGCCGCCGUAAUAC
rnacentral:rRNA from 1 species